GGAUGGAAGCAACACGGCUUGUUUUCCUUCAAAGUUGUCACGGACGAGCGUCAGACGUACGCUGGUGCGAAAACCGCCUGUGCCGCGGAGGAGGGCGCUUGGCUUGCCAUCGUAAAGGACCAGGCGACUCACGAUUUCAUCGUGGCCAUCCAAAGCCAGCAGGAAGAAACCGCGGAUGUCUUCAUAGGGUUGAACGACAUUGCAACGGAAGGGAGUUAUUUAUGGGAGGACGGCAGCCCUAUUGGUGAUUUUCAUCCAUGGACACCGGGACAGCCCAACAACUAUAACCAACAAGACUGUAUUGCCGUCACACAUCAAAACGAUGACCCCCUGAGCCAGUGGUGCGAUGACUCUUGUGAUGUCCAACAGGGAUACGUCUGCCAGAAAAAGACCAUCACCAGGAAGUGCGAAGUGUUCGCUUCAGGAAUUGGGGGUGAGGUGCAGAGUCCACAAUAUCCGGAG